UACGUAGGCAGCAAGCGUUGUUCGGAAUUACUGGGCGUAAAGAGUGUGUAGGCGGUGUUCUAAGUUUGUCGUGAAAUCUCCCGGCUUAACUGGGAGGGUGCGGCGAAAACUGGAAUGCUAGAGGAUGGGAGAGGUAAGCGGAAUUCCUGUGUAGCGGUGAAUGACGUAGAUAUCAGGAGGAACACCUGUGGUGUAGACAGCUUACUGGACCAUUCUGACGCUGAGACACGAAAGCGUGGGUAGCAAACAGG
rnacentral:rRNA from 1 species